CCUCCCACUAAGUUCAUCGACUCCUUGAGGAGUUGGUGAUCCUUCUCAAAGUUCUGAAGCAACCCCAGUAACCCGUGGUAGUUUACUUCAGGCUUUGUCAUUCUAUAAUGAGUGAGGAAUGGAAGAUAAGACUUGGGCAGCGAGUUCAGUAUUGCAUCUUUUCCAAGCUGCUCAUGCAAGAGAAAGUCGAGCUUGCUCAAUCAUUCCAUCAGCUCGAUCAUGUACAAUACAUGAU
rnacentral:lncRNA from 1 species